UGGGGAAUAUUGGGCAAUGGGCGAAAGCCUGACCCAGCGACGCCGCGUGGGUGAUGAAGGCCUUCGGGUUGUAAAGCCCUGUCAUGUGGGAAGAACGGCCUCAUGGUUAAUACCCAUGGGGAUUGACGGUACCACAGGAGGAAGCACCGGCUAACUCCGUGCCAGCAGCCGCGGUAAUACGGAGGGUGCUAGCGUUGUUCGGAAUUAUUGGGCGUAAAGGGCGCGUAGGCGGUUAUGUAAGUCAGAUGUGAAAUACUUCGGCUUAACCGAAGAACUGCAUUUGAUACUACAUAGCUAGAGUACAGAAGAGGGAAAUGGAAUUCCCGGUGUAGAGGUGAAAUUCGUAGAUAUCGGGAGGAACACCAGUGGCGAAGGCGAUUUCCUGGUCUGAUACUGACGCUGAGGCGCGAAAGCGUGGGGAGCAAACA
rnacentral:rRNA from 1 species